GAAAUGCGAUAAGUAGUGUGAAUUGCAGAAUUCAGUGAAUCAUCGAAUCUUUGAACGCACAUUGCGCUUCCUGGCAUUCCGGGGAGCAUGCCCGUUUCAGAAUCAUAAGAAUCUCGCAGUCCGCUUGGGGUGGAUUUUCCGCCCUUUGAGGAAUGCGGAUCUGGACGUCUUGUGGUGCGCAAAGCUGUUCUGCAAACGUCUGAAAGUGAUUGUAUGCAUCCCGUUGUACCGCCCGAUGCCUGUCCACAGUGCAACAGAUAGCUUCUCACCCACUGAAAGACGGCGCGUCAACUGCGUACAGCGCAGGUGGAUACCCAAACCCAAUACAUUUGCGGAGACGAGCACCUUUGCCACAACACACUGUGGCAUCUUUGCAGACUCUCUCAAACAACACUUGGUC
rnacentral:misc_RNA from 1 species